rnacentral:tRNA from 2 species
UAGAAAGUGGUGUUAGUGGAGCACUAAGAGUUUUGAUUUCUUGGGUAUGGGUUCAAGUCCCAUCUUUCUAG